AGCUGAGCUCUCAUCUCACUUCUCCUUCCCAAAUCCCAUCUAAUAACCCAAAAUCAAUCCCUGCAUGUUACACCACAACGAUCCCCAUCACCCAAGCAUUCCAUCCAUCUCAAUAUUUUGCACAUGCAUGAAGAGUUCAGAGAGAUCGAGAAGGAAUAAGGGAGUGGUGGUUUCAGCCUGCAUGCCUGCAACAACAACAUAAGUUUGUUUUCCUCUAUUUGCCAUAAGCAACAUCUCUUGCCGUCAGCCCGAGGCCUCAGCCUCGCACAACCCUACAUCCGAGUUGCUGCCAAGUGAGCCCAGCCAGAUGGAAGUUGGAGAAAAGGGGAGUGAAAAUAGAAAUCGAUUUCUGAAAUAGCUAUUGAGCUAAAAGAGAUUCAGAGAUCCCGGAGUGUGGUGGGCUAUAUCCAGAGGUUGAAAGUGACCAAGUGUAGCAUCAAGG